rnacentral:lncRNA from 1 species
ACAGCGCUCCUCCUUGACGCCGCGAGCAGGACCCUGUCUCACUGACCCCGUGCCCACGGCGGUCCUUGCCUGCUUCUAUUCUCCCGGUUUCCCCAGUCCCGAGUAUUGGAAAGCGAGAGCGAAAGCGAAAGCAUCCUAGUCGCCGGUAGGCUGGCCUGGGCCGGGCUGGAGAGGGAGCAGGAAAUAAAAACUCGGGUGUGGGAGGAGCUGGGACGCUGGCGGCAGAGCCACUGUGGCAGCUUGAGUCUCGCGCGCGCAGGAAGCGGAGGUGGAAGUUGGGGCGCAGGAAUGUGGCUGUCCCCGCCUGUAAAUCAUGGUUGGGGAGGAGUCGCGGAGGCACCAGGCUGGGGUCUGCAGCGCGCCAUCUGCUGCAGCACACAGGAGGCGCUGAGGCUAGUUGGAGACAGAGUCUCACUGUGUCACCCAGGCUGGAGUGAAGUGGCAUGAUCUUGGCUUACUGAAACCUCCAUCUCCCAGGUUCAAGCGAUUCUCAUGCCUCAGCCACUUGAGUAGCUGGGACUACAGGAUUUCGCCAUGUUCCCCAGGCUGGUCUCAAACUCCUGAACUCAGGCAGCCCGCCUACCUUGGCCUCCCAAAGUGCUAGGAUUACAGCCCAAAUGACCCUCCAAGACCCUCUGGAGGCACCCGCAGUGCUCCUUAAUUUGCAGCUCUACAGAAUGAGACCAGCGUGGCAGCCCCCUUUCAGGACAGCUCCCGAGACGAGACGCGAGAGCAGCCCCUAAAUCUCACCCAGCAAAGCCGUUUCUUCCUAACCGGGCUGGGGAGUGCCGCGCGCUGCCAGCAGAUGGCGACAGAGGAUUAGCCUGCGGAAACCGGGUAAGGGGAGGGCGGAGCUGAGGUGAGAACCCACAUCCCUCAUGCCCAGUGGCAGCAGGACGUGGAAAUGGUUUGCCCAGCCCUCACUUCUCUUGGACAGAGCUUGAGCCUUCUGGGAAACUGCUUUUCCCUGGCUGAGUGAUUAGCGGGGGUGUUAAGUUGGGAAGCUGGACGUUCACUUCCAUGUGCUCCUCUGAGAACCAUCUGUUGGUCUGAUGGUGCUAGAUCUGAAGCUGGUGAGCCUCUUGGGGCGGCCUCAAGGGCUAACAAGAUCUCAAAUGCCCUUCUCUCCAUCAUUUGUGGUAUCCUGGAUUAUUGUGAAAAUGUAUAGGGAUUCCUGGGGAAGAGUUAAGGAUUAAAAUAUAAAGGUUUAAAUAUAAAUAACUUUAUAUAUAUAUGUUUUUUCUUGUAAACCAAUAUGUUAUAUAGUAGGAAGUUUAAUUCCUUAACUUUGGUUUUUCUCCCUAGCCUUUUUAUAGCCAACAAGAGCAAAAGCACACUGCAAUGUCCAAACGAAUUGCAGGCGUUUUCUGCUCCCUGAAGCCUGGGAAUUAAUUUAUAUACUCAGUCCCUUUUCCCUUGGCUGGCCAUUGAAGUAGUUGAACCACAGGAUUGGACUGUCCAGAAUCAUUAGCCAGAGUUCACUGUGAGUGGACGUCUUUUAGUUCUGCUUCAACGCUAUAACCAACCUUUACCAAAAGCAACAACAAAACAAAAAACUGCAGAAACCAAUGAGUUCUGUUCACAAAGGAUGGCUCCUCAUGUCAUCACACCGGCAAGGAAUGGACGAGCCUCUGAUUUUUCUCUUCUUGGCUGACUUUACAAGGUUGGAUGCAGUCCAUGAGGAUCAUGCAGCAAAGACAGAAAGUGCUGGAGAAGCCCAACCUGCAGGGCCUCACCUUUAGCUGGUUUGUGUGGUUCCACUUCAUGUAGCUGUUGGAACACCAGUCUCUCUAAUGUGCUCUAUGGGAUAGCUGUUACCUUCCACUAAUUUAUGUCUAAUACCUAUAAACCUAAAGUAUCUUUUUAAAAAUUUUAUUCCGUCUUUUUGGAGGAAAUUUUUGUGCAUGCCAGAUAUAGUGUCAAGCAUUGGGAUUGCUAAGAUGAACGUAACAUUGUCCUCACCACCCAUUAAGUCACAAUCUAGUAGAUGAGUAAAAGUAAAAAAAAAAAUUAAAAAAAGAGUUAUAACCAUAAUACAGAAGUGAACAGGUUGCAGUGGUAGCACAGAGAGGGCUUCAGGGAUGCUGUCACAGAGGUGGUAACAUUUGAGAUAUAGAUUCCAAAUUCAGAUGUGUUUGCUGUUGCAAAAUUCCAGGGUCUAUGUGCCCAGUUCCUGAACAUUCCAGUGAUAAUUUUUACCUAAAAUUUAGGUGGCAAAUGAAUCUUACUAUAACCACUUGGAACCACUGUGUUUCUGGUCCAUCUUGUGAGGCCCAUCUUUGGUUCAGAGGGAUGGAGGCAGAAGUCAUACGGCAGGUAAGCUCAAGCAGUGAUACAUGACAGGGCUUUCAGAACUGGGGCCAUGAAGAGCAGGCUUUAUUUGCAUGCUGUUUAAAAACAAGAUUUUACAACUGAUUUACCCUAUUAAACACUUCCAUGAAUAACUCAGUGGAGAUUUAUUUGCAAUAGUAGGAUCAGGUGAUUUGAAAUCUUUAGUGUGUGUGGUUGUAGCAGGAGGAGUACUGGGUUCCAGCAUUUAAUAAGAGGACCCAUGGUUUUAUGAAAAUGUCCAGAGAUAUAAUUUUGGUUAAGGUUAUACCUCAUCUUUGGUUGUACAGUUGUUUCUUUUAGUUUCAGUACAAUCUAAAACAGGAAAUGUCAAUUCACAUGGGCAUGUCAGAGAACUUAGUGGCAGCUCCUCCCAUCACAAGCCUGGUUACACGGUUAGGUGGAAAAGACAAGUUGUAUGUAGAGAUCAUUAUCAGAAAUUGCUAAACUCUGUCAUCAAAAACUCUGUUGGAAUGGAUUUUAAAAUUUCUUAAUAAAAGAUGAAACAUGA